rnacentral:rRNA from 1 species
UACGUAGGGGGCUAGCGUUGUCCGGAAUCAUUGGGCGUAAAGCGCGUGUAGGCGGCUCGGUAAGUCCGCUGUGAAAGUCGGGGGCUCAACCCUCGGAUGCCGGUGGAUACUGUCGGGCUAGAGUACGGAAGAGGCGAGUGGAAUUCCUGGUGUAGCGGUGAAAUGCGCAGAUAUCAGGAGGAACACCAAUUGCGAAGGCAGCUCGCUGGGACGUUACUGACGCUGAGACGCGAAAGCGUUGGGAGCAAACAGG